rnacentral:rRNA from 1 species
GAGAGUUUGAUUCUGGCUCAGGAUGAACGCUGGCGGCGCGCCUAACACAUGCAAGUCGAACGGUUAAAGCACCUUCGGGUGUGUAUAAAGUGGCGAACGGCUGAGUAACACGUGGGCAACCUGCCCCUCGCACUGGGAUAGCCUCGGGAAACCGUGGUUAAUACCGGAUACUCCGGGACCCCCGCAUGGGGGUGCCGGGAAAGCCCUGACGGCGAGGGAUGGGCCCGCGGCCUGUUAGCUUGUUGGCGGGGUAACGGCCCACCAAGGCGAUUAUGGGUAGCCGGGUUGAGAGACCGACCGGCCAGAUUGGGACUGAGACGCGGCCCAGACUCCUACGGGAGGCAGCAGUGGGGAAUCUUGCACAAUGGGCGAAAGCCCUGAUGCAGCGACGCCGCGUCGGGACGAAGGCCUUCGGGUUCUAAACCGCUUUCAGCAGGGACGAGGCCGCAAGGUGACGGUACCUGCAGAAGAAGCCCGGCUAAU